rnacentral:tRNA from 3 species
CGGGGUGUGGCGUAGCUUGGUAGCGCGCCUGCUUUGGGAGCAGGAGAUCGUGGGUUCAAAUCCCGCCACCCCGA